AAACUGGUUGUCCUGGAUGUUUGAGAAG
rnacentral:piRNA from 1 species